UUAGCUAGCAAGUUACAUAUCUCACUGUCGCUUCUUACAGCUUCCCAAAUAUGGACUCACGAAAAACAGGCAUUUUAUGAUCGGUAAGGGGAUGCCACAAUAACUGGCAGAAACGGAUGCUGUUCAUGGAACAGGAGUGUUUUGACCGCCUAACUUUUUUAGUGCAGUUGUGAGACGCCUUUUGAUUUGCACUAAGGGCGAGGAGUCUCUUCGGAUUUGGCUCAGAGCUUUGAACUUGAAGAAACCUCCAAACAUAAAUUAAAAUUAAACCUCCAAACCGACCCUAUAUGUGUUCCUAUCACUUCGUGGACAAGAUGCCGACUGAAGAGCAUCCUUUCACUGAGAAGUGGCUGGGCUAUGAUGCUCCAGUACAGAUCAGAAGGCGACAGCUCAUACAUCAACACAUACAGUGAUCUUGCUGAACACGUUGCUGUGUCCAAGGGAGUGGUGAGCAGAGUCCUUUCCUACUGGAUUGACACAAUGGAGGAGCUCAUGAGGAUCUACAUUCCAUGGCAGCCGAGAGGCAGAUGCAGUGACAAGUUCAUCACCCAAAACUCUGGCUUCCUGGAAUACCUUAGGCCUGGCGAUGAAGUUAUGGCUGACGGGCUUUACCAUCCGAGAUCUGCUGUAUGAGAGUAAGGUAAACCUUGCCAUACCAGCCUUCACCCAGAAAGGUGGACAGCUGUCUGACGAGGAUGUCGCAAGCACAAGAAGGAUAGCUAAUGUGCAUAUACAUGUUGAGAGAGUUAUCAGACUCAAGGUGUUCAAAUCCUCUCCCAGACUGUGUCCAUUUUGUGUGUCAGGCUGAUGGGAAAAGUCCUUAGAAUCUGUGCAGCACUUGUUAACAUGCAGAGUGAGAUCAUCCAUGAGGAUGCAGAAUGAGCAGUGAGAAUGUUCAUACAUUUGAAAUGUAACUUUAAACACUAUAAUUUCAUCCACCUGAGAUACUAUGUGUGUGUGUAUGUAUAUAUAUAUAUAUUAGUUUAAUCUGAAUUAUUUGUUACUAUAUUUGAAAUGUACUGUAACUUUGGCUGUUCCUGAUAAUUACAGGCAUCCACUAGGUGCUGCUAUAAUGCCUUUUUAAAUCUAUUUCAAAUACAUUUUCUUCAACACAAAUGUCACUAACAGACCAAGAGGGAAGACAAAUGUUUGUCAAGUGACACAAUUUUUCUUAAUUUGUGCCCUUGAAAACCAAACCCAGAAUCAAACUGAAAACACUUUUGAAUACUUUAGACAUGCCUCCUCAUCUUUCUUUUCAAAAUGGUAAGUAUCAAAGAAAAUGUCAAUGUGGAAUUUCAUGUUUUUAUUAACUCCGUAAUUUGCUAAGUGCAAGAUGAGUUACGGUAUGCUUAGAUAAGUUCACGAAGUGCCGUAUGCAAAAAGAGCUAUACAAGGUACGAUUAAAAUAUUCAUAAAUCAUAAGGUGUUAUUCUUAGACAUUAGAUAAGCAUGUAUGAAGAGAGCUGUACAAGGCAAGACAUAAAAAACACCAAGAAGAAUUAUGCAAAUAUAAAUCAGGUCAAUGUGCAUAUGAAGAGAACUGCAAAACAAAAAAAAACAACCAAGAGUUAAGCUUAGAUACAGUAGAGCUGACAGAGCUUUACAAGGCACAAAAUAUAAGAACUAUUUAAAAGCAAAGUAUUAUGCCCCGAGCCUAGAUACCACAUAGAUUAACAUAUUUGGAGCACAGAGUUAGUCUGCCUAUCUGGAACUCAUAUACUAUCGUUGGCAGCAUAUGUGGGAAAUACAAUGCCUUUAGUGAUUACAUCAGCACAUAACUUCACAUCAAAAGGCAUAUCAAUAAUGGAUGAAUAUGUAUGAACUUUCCAAUUUGUAAGUCGCUCUGGAUAAGAGCGUCUGCUAAAUGACUUAAAUGUAAAUGUAAUAACAACCAGCUCGGAUGGAGCCCAGACAGCAGUUUGCAUCUCUCCAGUCCUGUGCAGAACAUGCCCGUUUACACCUACAUGUAGUACCCACGGGUUCCAUUAGGUUGCAGCUGAGGAAUCCCAUCCACCAGCUUCACAUCAGUGAGUUUGCUAGAGACUCACACUUCUUACUCAGAACAGGACAUUUGAUUUCUAGAAGUUUUUGACAGUUUAACACUCCAUCUGGGCUUGCAGAAAGCCAUGGCUCCUUGACACUCACUGCUGUGCCUCUGCUCUUCAGACUAAACCCACAGCUCUCCAUCCAUGUGUUGGCCACCUGCUCAUUUUCCUUUCCAUAUGUGGUUGCUGAGUUUCCAUGGAACCUGGGGAAGAGAUGCUCCCGCACAAAGUGGUCAGGAUUUGUUGAGGGGCGCACAGGAACCUUUGCUGAGCUAGCAGUGAUCUGAAGUUUAAGUGUGUCAUACCAUGCAUAGGAGGCACUCUAUGCUUUAGUGAAAUCUCCAAGCAUGCACAUUUACACUCCUCCAGCUUAACAUAAAAGUCAUAAAACUGCAUGUUGAUGCCGUGUUCACUAUGAGGCUGCUGUAGCUGUGUGGCUGCUGCUGGAUCUUGAUGACUGGUUUAGCUUUGCACUUGUGCAGAAGGCUCCUACUGGAACAUUGCCCCCUUCCAAACUCUUAAGUGCAUUGUGGGAGUGGUAUGCAGGGGUUGGAGGUAGAGUUGGAGAAGCGGACGGGGGGCUGUUAGAGAACUCAACAGAUCUCGCUCAACCUUUUUGGAGCUAAAUUCCACUGUGUCCCCAAGUUCCACUGGCAUUGCUCCUGUACAGGACACCCCUGUCAAUCUUCCAUACACAGCAUUCUGCACCUUCAACCAAAAACUACUGUUAGAAUAGUCAAUUACAGUACAGAACGCUAGUUUACAUGGUGUUCACAGGUGAGUAGUUUACACAGUUCCCUUUUAACUAGUAGGUUUAGGUUGUUGGUAAUUUCCUAUUUGAUUGUAAAACUCACCUUGAUACUGUGCCUACUUCAUUGCCAUUUGAGAUUAGACUGAUAUACUUACACAAUGAGCCAUUGAAACCAAGAACCGUGUGUACAUGUUGUACUAGUUACGUUAUCCGGUCAGUGAUAUAAAAUAAUGUUGUAUUUCUGUUUUGUGGAUGAAUGUAUAUGGUGUUACUGAUGUCAACAUGUAGGCUAGAACAUACAGAGGCAACUAGACACUAACCCUCUUCUUAUAGCUAUCUGGAUUCCAGACCUUUCAAAACGACAAACAUCAAAGGCCAAGGUGAAGGGUAGGGAGCAAAUUGAGAUCAGCUUUCUAUGUAGGCCUAGUCUACUCUGCUCACAUAUGCUCAGUUCACAGGACCUGCUCUCCUUCCCUUAAACUGAGUCAGGAAAGGUAGGCUUAAGGAAACCAGCUUGAUCUAUCAAUAGCUCACAUUCUGUUGCACUCGAAACAAAACGUGAGCGCAGCGAUCAGUCUGCUUGACCUGGCUAAUGGAGAGGAGCAGUAGUCCUAGACUAGGCAGUGGCUAGUUGGGGUUGUAGU